UACAGGGGGGGCAAGCGUUGUUCGGAAUUACUGGGCGUAAAGGGCGCGUAGGUGGCCUUCUAAGUUGAACGUGAAAUCCCUGGGCUCAACCCAGGAACUGCGUCCAAGACUGGGAGGCUUGAAUCCGGGAGAGGGAUGCGGAAUUCCAGGUGUAGCGGUGAAAUGCGUAGAUAUCUGGAGGAACACCGGUGGCGAAGGCGGCAUCCUGGACCGGUAUUGACACUGAGGCGCGAAAGCCAGGGGAGCAAACGGG
rnacentral:rRNA from 1 species